GUACGGGUUGUGAGAGCAAGAGCCCGGAGAUGGAUUCUGAGACACGAAUCCAGGCCCUACGGGGUGCAGCAGGCGCGAAAACUUUACAAUGCUGGCAACAGCGAUAAGGGAACCUCGAGUGCCAGGUUACAAAUCUGGCUGUCGAGAUGCCUAAAAAGCAUUUCAUAGCAAGGGCCGGGCAAGACCGGUGCCAGCCGCCGCGGUAACACCGGCGGCUCGAGUGGUAACCGUUAUUAUUGGGUCUAAAGGGUCUGUAGCCGGCCGGAUAAGUCUCUUGAGAAAUCUGGCAGCUUAACUGUCAGGCUUUCAGGAGAUACUGUCUGGCUCGAGGCCGGGAGAGGUGAGAGGUACUUCAGGGGUAGGGGUGAAAUCUUGUAAUCCUUGAAGGACCACCAGUGGCGAAGGCGUCUCACCAGAACGGACCUGACGGCAAGGGACGAAAGCUAGGGGCACGAACCGGAUUAGAUACCCGGGUAGUCCUAGCCGUAAACGAUACUCGCUAGGUGUCGGCCACGGUGCGACCGUUGUCGGUGCUGUAGGGAAGCCGUGAAGCGAGC
rnacentral:rRNA from 1 species